rnacentral:rRNA from 1 species
GAUGAACGCUGGCGGCGUGCCUAAUACAUGCAAGUCGAGCGAACAGACGAGGAGCUUGCUCCUCUGACGUUAGCGACGGACGGGUGAGUAACACGUGGAUAACCUACCUAUAAGACUGGGAUAACUUCGGGAAACCGGAGCUAAUACCGGAUAAUAUAUUGAACCGCAUGGUUCAAUAGUGAAAGACGGUUUUGCUGUCACUUAUAGAUGGAUCCGCGCCGCAUUAGCUAGUUGGUAAGGUAACGGCUUACCAAGGCAACGAUGCGUAGCUGACCUGAGAGGGUGAUCGGCCACACUGGAACUGAGACACGGUCCAGACUCCUACGGGAGGCAGCAGUAGGGAAUCUUCCGCAAUGGGCGAAAGCCUGACGGAGCAACGCCGCGUGAGUGAUGAAGGUCUUCGGAUCGUAAAACUCUGUUAUUAGGGAAGAACAAAUGUGUAAGUAACUAUGCACGUCUUGACGGUACCUAAUCAGAAAGCCACGGCUAACUACGUG